GCGGCGGUGACGACAUCGCUCGGGAGGAGGGAAGGCCAGAGAAAGGUCUGUGAAGGCCUCCUCCCGAGAGGAAACAUUGAGGCAGUGCAGACAGCAUAUCCGAGUCACGAUCUUGCCUCCAAACAUUUUCUCCACAGAUGUUGCAUGGGAGCUAGGGAGUUCUUCCAAUGGGGAGGGCAAGCUGGACUGCUUGAGCUUCUGGCAGAUCCUCGUCCCGGUUUUCUCCUCUUCGUGAAGCCUGGAACAAGCAGAGAGGCGGGGUGUACACACUGCCCCGCCAUGCUUCAGACACAUGGAAGAGCCUGCCAAAACAAUUCCCAUCCCUGUACUUCUGUGUUGACACACUCACCUAGCACAUGCCUACGUAAAGGUGGCCCCAGAGCUGUGUGAUGAUUAGCACGCUCAUGCAGCACACUGGAUACUCAUGCACACACUGACAGCCCCUUCCGGGCUUCACAUGCACUUCAGCGUCCUUGGACACCUACGGUCCACACCUUCUCUGUCCUUCAGAAGAGCAAGGAAGAUCCAACCCCCACUCAGAGGGACAAGCUGCCGCCCCGAGUGUUCUCAGGACCCACACCUUCCUGACCCACGCAGCGUUUCUUACCGAUCCAGCAGCUCCAACACCCCAUGACUCCAGGACUCAAACAUGCCAGCUUUGGAAGAAGUCAUCGUGUGGGCAUUGCAGAAAUCAGAACACCAAGUUCACCCCAGCAGGAAGUGAGGACAGCGGCGCCCAGCUCAGAGGAAACCGACUGACGGUCAGAGGCAUG